rnacentral:rRNA from 1 species
CACGUAGGCACCAAGCGUUGUCCGGAUUUAUUGGGCGUAAAGAGCUCGUAGGCGGUUCAGUAAGUCGGGUGUGAAAACUCUGGGCUUAACCCAGAGCCGCCAUCCGAUACUGCUGAACUUGAGUACGGUAGGGGAGUGGGGAAUUCCUGGUGUAGCGGUGAAAUGCGCAGAUAUCAGGAGGAACACCGGUGGCGAAGGCGCCACUCUGGGCCGAAACUGACGCUGAGGAGCGAAAGCGUGGGGAGCAAACAGG